UACUGCACCUCUGAACUCUAAGCUUUCAUCUUUUCAGCAGGCUAAUUUAGAGGGCAGAUUCAAGAGAAGUCUGAUUAUUCUUCCUUUUGUGAAAUAUCGGGGAGUGCCUUACAGAUCCACUGCUAUACAUUCAGAGAUCUAUCAGUAGAUCCCUAAGUAUUUUCUACCUAUUACUGCUAUAAUGGCAGGAAGUAUUACCUGCUGAAUAGUAACAGUAUUAUAACAGGGUUGCUAAAAAAAAGCAUUAAGAGAUGUAAAUUUAAUUUUGCGCAGGUUUUUUUUUCUGGAAACAUUGUCUUGCUAAUUAGAGCUUAUAAAACUUAUGCUAGACCAAUCUUAAAGUAUUGUUCUACUGUUUGGAAUCCCCACCAUAUAUCUGACAUCAAUACAAGUGAGCGGGUUCAGAAGUACUUCAUGAGAAAAGUCUUGCACUCUUCUGUGUGUAUGUGUGAAGGGGAAUGUUGCAAUGGGGAGGAGAAAAACAAAGAUACAAGAUAAAUUCUAGAUGACAGAAGGAUUGGAAGAAGAGGCCACAGACAAAGCAGCUGACUUAAAACUUAUAGUCAGACAUCAUUUAAGCCAGAGUGAAAUGAAAUCACAUUAAAUGGAAAUUGCUAGCAAGGCUGCUUUAGAGAAGGUCACUUCCCUGAAUGUCUUGCAGACAGAAGGUUGGAUGGUGUCUCCAGAUGUUUUGCUCUGGAAGUGCCAAAGUGCCAAAGAAGAGUUAAAUAACAUGCUUCUCUUCACAUUCUUUGGGGGUUUCUUUUUCUUUGUAAUAAGGAAUUGAUGGUUUUUAUUCCCUCCUCCAAGUAUUUUACAGCUGUGAUAAGAUUGGAUCAGAAGAACUUUAAUUCCCAACUGAGGUUUAAAAUUUGCUGAAUGAUCUUAGAUAAGUUGUUACCUGUCUCUGGAUUACUGAUCCAACAGUAAAAAUUUAAAUGGAAAAGCUUAUUAUAGAAGAAUAUCUGGGAUAUGUAUUUUUGCAUGCAUGCCUGUAUGUACAGUAUGUGUCUCUGCAGGUGUAUGUAUACACACACAAUUUGUCCUGUGAGACAGCCCAUACAAGAAACACAGCCAGGAGAAUCUGUAAGGUUACAUUAAAUUAUCUUGGAAGGCUAAACGUUUUGUCCAUCUCUUUGCUAAAGUAGACCUAACCAGUUCUUGUGACCAUUCAUAUGUUUUAGUCUCCCGUUCUUUAGUCAUUGUUGUUGCUAUUUUCUUGUUGCAUUCUUUCUAGAAUCUCAGCAUCUUUUUUUAUAUCAUGGUGACCAAAACUGGAUCAGUAUUCCAAGUGUGGUCUUACUAGUGCA